rnacentral:lncRNA from 1 species
GGGAACCUAAAAAAUAUAAAAAUGUCCAAACCACACCCCUACCCCCAAACCAUCUCUCAGAAACACCCUUCAGAGCCCUAAUGUAACGGCGCCCUGCACCACCGUCUGUCGCCCGCUUGAAAUCGCCACUGGCGGCGAUCGGCGGCCAAUCAUGCCCAAAUUUACACCAAGUCAUUUCCUCACCCCACUCUUUCCAAAUCCCGUUCACUUUCCAAAUCCGGCCUGAGCUCCCCUAAUAUCCAACCGAAGGUGGAAACUCUAGCGCCGCCACAGCUUCUCUGGUGGUAGCGCCACCUCCAAAUGCUCCCAAAACAACACCUCAUAAGCUCCAUAACCCCCUCACCCCAAAUCUCCGUUCAGCUCCCCUCAAAUACCCCUGAAACCCUUCGAAUAUGGAUUUGAAAGAAAAACCUAAAAUCCCAAUCAUCGAGGAAUUGAAGAUUUGAGGUCGAAAUUGGCUUCAGUUAUGUGUUUUCGUUUGAGAACACACGAUUGACGCCCAUUUCUGCCUGAAUCAAAGGUCCAAACUUGUGCAUUCAAGAUUUUAUUUGGCCAAUCUUUAGGUAUCUUUGUUUACUUUAGGCUGCUAAUUUUCUAUUGCCUUUUUACUUCUCUUCUUCUUCUAUCGCUUUCUUUUUUUUUCCAGAUUUUUUUAUCUAUUUAUUUGCAUCCCUUCAAAUGUCCAUCUCCGCAUGUGUUAGUUAGUAUCCUAUUUAGUUUUUAGUUCGUUUAAUUUUUAGAAAAAAAUUCAUUGCAAAUUCAAGAGUAUUUUGUUCAUUGUUUGUGUGUAUUAGUUUUUCCCGUAAUUAUCUAUUCAUGCAUAUUAGUUUUAGGAAAACCUUCUCUUUAAUUAGACAUUAGUAUUUUUUUAUUUAUUAUUAAGAUAGUUCUGAUUGGUGCAUUAAUUCAAUUUGGAUUGCUUCUGUUGUUGUUGGUUUGCCUCAGUUAAUUUGAUUUUGAUUUGGGCUUGGAGGUAAUGCCUUUAGAUUUCAGACUCAUUGGUUUGGGCUGACUUUUGAAUUAACUCAACUUAGCGUCAAAUUGACCCAUUUUGGCUUUGGCCCCUGAAGUAAUUAACUGAAGUUAAAGGCGUAACUUGGGUAGUUUACUUAGAGAAUCUCUGAAUAACCACCUUAGGAAGCUUCCUAGAAGCUGAAAAUAGCCUUACUUGGCCAACAAGUCAAAAAAUUAGGGACCAAGUAGCAAAAAAUAAAAAUUGGGAAGGAUUAAAGGGCAAAACUUAGCCCAUUUCAGCUGCUCUAGUAGCUGGCCUAUAAAAACACUGCUAAGGAAGGCUCAUUUCAGAUUUGGAGAUAUAGAAAAAUCCAGAAAAUCAAAGAAGGCUAAAAUUUUUAGUGAAAAUUACUAUUACAUUGGAUUUUUUCUGUGAUUUCUUAAUCCAACUCCUAAAAGUAAAUUCUGAUCGAAUAGAGCUAAAAUGCUUAGGGUUUAGUGGUUUAAAGAGUUUGGUCUGAAGUUCUGGUCAUUUUUGGUUGAUUGUUGCACAUCAUUCCUUGGUUUAAAGCUGAUUCUCUUGUUCAGCUCUGCUGCGGCCUUAUACUAUUGCUGUUGUUGAUACUUCACCUUCUGUUUCUUUCCAUCUCCAGGUACCCUUUCUGAAAUUAUGAUUGGAAAUUGAGCUUGUUUGUUGAGUCUUAUGUAAAGUUUUAUUAACCAAAUUGUUUCAAUGAAACGCAACAUUUUUAUUGUGAUUGUUGCUGCAUUUGCCAUAUUCUUUUCCCUGAUUCAGUCUAGCUUACUUUGGAUGUCCCAUUCAUAUGCACAUGGUAUUAGGUGUAGGGUUUGAACUAGUUUGGAUGUUUGAGGUUCAAAGGUACUUUAGAUGAAACUUGUAAUAAUUAAGGACUCUGAUAUUGUAGUUGAUUACUGAAACUAUUUGGUCUUUGGUUUGUGUUUGUCAUAGCAAUGAACUAAAUAUAUGUUAAUUCAGAAUGAUUGGUCUCAUUAAUUUAGUGUCACAUACUAGUAAUUAUGCUCAAGUUUGCAUCCAUAUGGUGUGAAAACAUGGUUCAAUGUUCUCAUAGUCUAGCAUUGGUUCUCCUUCCAUAGGUGUUCUGAGUUUUGUUUUUUAUUUUUUGGAUUUUGUGAAAAGGAGUUCUUUUAGAAAUAGAUUGAGUAUGAUUUCAGACUGGGAAAUCCCAGGCCUAGACUUGGUUUCAUUUUCUUUAAUACUUGGUAAUCAUCUAUGAUCUAGUUAAGCUUAUUAGUUGGAGUCAGACAUUGCAUAAGUUACGAUUGUUAAUUUUUAAUAGCAAAUGUGAAUGUUCUUAAUUUGGAAGUCGGAGUUCAGUAAUUUAUAAUGUGAAGAUUUAUGAGAAUCAUGGUUCAAUUUCAUUAUUUCUCGAGCAAGCUUUCUUUAUUUUGUUCGUUUGGUGGUCAUCUUUUGUUGGUUUUAAGUUCUAGCGAGAAUUUGUGUGCUUCUUUUAUUAAUCCAUGUAUAAUAAUAGCUUUCUUGUUCCUGGUUAGUUUUCUUAAAAUAACUUAGUUAUAUUCAGUGGUGUAGCUUGAUAAUUUAUCAAAAUUUGAUUCUUCCACUGUCAUUAUUUGCUUAAUACAUUUUUUUAAGAGGAAAAUACAUGUUAGAGUAACUCAAGGUGCAAAGGGAAGUAAUGUAAAAGAAUUGGACUUAUCUUGCUGCAUCAAAUGAUCCGCUGUUUGUACGCCUGGAGACUCGAAUCGAGUCUUACUCACGCUGAUGCUCAAUCCUCCAAGGAUUUGGGGCUCACGAUUGAGCCUGAGCUGAAAAUCUACUGCCUUCCUUCCCAUGGGGCCAGUGUUUUGAGCCCAAAGCCUUUCAAUGUCCAUUUUUAAUCCGCGUGCUUCUGGUUCUAUUUUUCACAAUUGGUCUGUUAACUAGCUCAGCAUCUUAGUCCAAAAUAUUGGUAAAUCCUUCCUUUAAUUAAUUGGGUAGAUUGGAGGUGUCCCAUAAUAACCAAUUGAAUAAAGUAUGGCCCUUGUAAUUUAAUUUGAAAACCUCUUAAUUAGUAGAUUGAGGUGUGCCAUGCCAUAUAAAAAUGACAAGUGCGUGGCCCUCAUUUAAUUAUUUCUUUUAAAAUCCGUAGAAUUCAAGGCAUGCAAUUUAGCAAAUUUCUCAUGGCCCUCGCAGAGCUAAAACUGCAUAGUUACUUUCGGCACGUUAUUUUAAUAAUAUUACCUUCCUGAAUUUGGGUGUGCUUUUCAUGUGAUUCGAAUCCAAAUCUCACAAUGUUGAAUAAAAUAUGUCUCAAACUUCGGGGGUAUUUCAUGUAGCAUAGUCUAAAGACGUGUUUUAAAUGACGUUAAAAUCUUCUUAGAAAAUAAUCAAAAGCGGUUAAUAAGUUUAAAAUGUACCAUAUGCUAAAACAUGUGUUAAAAUAAGAUAAUAGGUAAAUUGUAAUAGUUUAAGUGACCAUGCUAGAACCACAUAAUUUGUGGGUGCCUAACACCUUCCCUCGAGUCAACAGAAUUCCUUAUCUAGAAUUUCUGGUUCGCAGACUUCAAAAAGAAAAGUCAAAUUUUACUCGAUUUGGGAUUUUAAAAUAAACCAGUGACUUGUGACACCAGAAAAUAAACCUAUCCCAAGUGGCGAGUCUGAAAAUUAAAUAAAUAAUCCCAUUUUGAGCAAUGUCAUUUAAAGUGGAAAAACUCCCUAUACAUACCUUCGGGUGUGUAAAAAGAAGGUGUGACAGCUCUGACGACUCUGCUGGGGACCCAAACCCAGAACUUCGGUUCAGGUUUUAAGAAUUCGAGCUUAGAAUAACUUUUAUAGUUGGUUUGGUUUUAUCUGAUUUUUCUACGUGUUUGAGCAUGUGCUAAAUGCCUCUUUUACCGCUUUGAUAGUGUGUGAAUUGUAUAUAAACUGCUACGAAAACCCAUCUUCUCUCUGAGUCUUCUAAAUUAUUUGAGAAGUGUGCACUUUGUGUAACUUCUUUUCUUAGAGUCUUAUCCCAAAUUUUAGAAUGAGGUUCUGACAAGUUGCUAAGCCGGCGAAGCUUCUGUAUUCUCGGUACGUUGCCCCGCCCUCGGCUAGAGCUAUUCGCUCGGGUAAGCUAGGUAUAGAACAAUAAACUCAGGGUUUAAAUAUAGUGUAUUAAAACCUCAUGCCGGAUCCCUAGUAGGAAUGUUUGUUUGCAUCACAUUCAUUUAACUUAGGAGACUCAAUAUAGGGGUUGGGUCUAUCUAGGACAGGUGAACCUGAAAUAAAAAGACCGUCCUGAUGCAUCCUACUUGCUACUUGUGCAUUUAUUUAUUUCAGAUUUUCAUGUCGACUAGCUUGUGAAUAAUAUAAGAAAAUUGAGAAAAGAAAAUGACAGUAUGAGAAUUAAGAGAGAUAAUUAUCCAUUUUGAGAAAAAAAAAUGUCCAAAACGUACUGAAACUCUGCCGGUUUUUUGAAGAAAAAAAGGGGUGAAAAAGAAGAAAAGUUUUCGAAAUAGUUAUUUUGUUUAAAAAUUUGCCCGAACUACACCAGUUUGAUUCCCACCGGAUGUGGGAUACGUAGGCAAACCCCAUCGGGUCCAACUUACCUUUACAAAAUAGCCCAAAAAGAACAAGAAUUUUAUUUUUUAUCAAAAAUAAACAGGGUGAUGCCAUUCUUGUCUAAAAUGAGCCGAAUGUCCCCAAAAGGCCGCCGAAAGGCUAUUUUGCAAGAACAACCACCUUGGUCAUUUCAUUAAUUUUUGGCUAGUUAACAGGAACAACCUUAAAAUCUUCUUCCCCGAAGUGCUGAAAGGCCGUAUUUGCAAAAUUGGAUUUUAUUUUUUGAAAUAAAAUUUUGAAAAAUGGUGUUACUCGUAUUGGUCAAAAUGAGUUAUUAAAUCAUCUUAAUAAAUAUUCAGGAUGAGCAUGAAUGAAAUUGAACCCUUCACAUCCCUUAAAAAGAUCCCCUUACAGCUCCACAUAUGGUCGAAUGAUGUAGGAAAAGGCAGUAGAGAAACUGUAGUAAAGGUUCUAGGAGGUCUAGUCGAACUGUUGAACAUCAAACCAAGGUUGGACGUAAUUGAAGCUUUAAUAUCUUUUUGGGAUCCAAUUCGUAAUGUUUUCUGCUUUUCUGACCUUGAACUCACACCAACCCUAGAAGAAGUUGCCGGUUAUGCUGGUCUUAAUGGAAACCUUUGAAGUCGAUAUCCAGUGUCGGCAAGACCGGUAUUCCCCAACAAAUUUUUGGACUUGCUGAGUAUUAGUCGGGAUAUCCAGAAUGGAAACUUAUCUGAGGGGUAUUGCAAUUUCCAGUUUUCAUAUCAACGCUACAACAACCUUCAAGGUUUUGAAGCACCAAACACUGGUUUGACCCCCGCUCGAAACAAAGACAAAUGGGAGGUAAGGCGGGGUUUGGCCUUUGCAGCAGCAUUCUAGGGCAUUGUAGUCUGUCCACGAGAAGAUGGUAAUAUAUAAAUGGGUCUCGUAGGAAUGGUUGAUGUUGCAAUCAAGAAAGCCAAUAGCACUGUGGUUCCUCUGAUCCUAUCUGAAAUCUACCGAGCCUUGACAAUCUUUCGAGAAAGGGUAAGGUUCUUCCAAGGUUGCAAUCUGCUAUUACAGUUGUGGAUACAUGAGCAUCUCUGCCACCGGGUUGGGUAUAUAAAUUACGUUAUGACCGGUUUAAGCUGCAUUAAAGAAUUUAAAAGCCGAGUAGUGGGUAUUGGAUUCCUGAGGGUACUUCAUGAGAAGGGUAGGAUCCGAGUAAGGAUUAGAGCUAUUGCCGACUACAUCAUCCCAAAAUGCCAAGCAUGUGAAGAUAUGACCUUAACCACCUUCUUCGCUGCAUGAUGAUAUUUGUCCGCCAAAUAAUGAGCGAUUUGGAGCGGCUACAGGGGGAUCUUGCAUAUAGGCCCAUUGCGAGACCAAAUGAUGCCCCGUGGGUCCUAGGAGUUGAAGCCUUAAUGUAUUCCUGAUUUUUCAUUUAUCGAGACUGUAUUUCAGUUUAUUUUGAGUCUAUUUGUAGUUUUUCAUUCCAAGAAGAUUAGUUUGAAAUCUUUUGUAGUAGAAGUUUAUUUAAUGAAAAAUCAAAACAAAAAUUGUUUCGUUACUUUUUACACUUAUUUGUUGAACUACGUAAUGAUAUGAUUCACGUGCAUCGUGAUAUGUAGGCAAUCCUCAUCGGAUUCGGCCAUAAUUUUGCGCAUAAUCCCAAUAAGAUGAAGAAGAAAAGAGAGAGAAACCCAAAAAGGAAAAGAAAGAGAGAUGAAAUAGAGAGAGUGAGAGUUUGAAAGUGGAAAAUUGGAAAUAAUAAGCAAAGUCGGGAUGAAGCAUGCAACCGUUGCAAAACAUGUAGAAGCACAUUUAACUGUAUAGGUGCAUCACACCCCCAAUGUGCGAUUACCUAUGUAUUAUUUGUUUCAAACUAACUAUUUUAUUAUUGUUCAUAGUUCCAGGUCUUUACAGAAUGAUGGUUGGUUUUUGUGGUAGCCUGGCUUCGCACCCAUACUUUACGAGAUCAAAAAGGAGCGUCGAAAUGUCUUCUGAAAUGACUCUGCCAACAAUUCCCAUCAUGGAUGAUAGUCCAAUCUCAGGCAUCUCGUCUUCAGAAUCGGCAGUUUCCGAAGAACAAAUUCUUGCAUCUCCAAUGGAAAUGUGGGAUGCUUGGUUAAAGAAGAGAGCCACCAAGCGCAGUCCUGGGAUUCCCUGAACUCUUUCCUAGAGCAAGGGGUACCUCCAUCAUCUUUAUCAGUCACCCAAAUACACCACUAGGACACCCAAUUAUCUCAGCUCAUUUUGUGGGAAUACCUUCCGAGGUUCGCCCCUAGGCGUUAGUGUCUGGUGUAACCUCAAAUAUCUUCACUGCUCCCCCUUGCUUGGCCACGGCACAGCCUACACUUGCCAGGCCCAGUUUUGACCCAUCACCUUUCACCUUCCAAGCACCCUUAUUCCCAAUGGAACAUCCUUAAUUUCCCACUUAUACUUACUUCCAGCCACCCCGAUAUGAGUUCACUGCGGGGCAAGAAAAGAUCGCCAAAAACCUUGAGUAAGAAGAGAUUGCGAAAAGAUGAGGAGUAUUGAACAAAGUCUCAAAAGCAUAAAAGGCCUAAGCGGAUAGAAAAGUGUAUCCUAUCCAGACUUAUGUAUGUUCCCUCAUGUGCAUCUAUCAUUGGGAUUCAAAACCCUAAUAUUCGAGAAGUAUGAUGGUCACGGUGAUCCUAUUGCAUAUCUCAAGAGAUAUCGCAACCAGUUGCGAGGAGCUGGUGGAAAGGAAGAACUCCUCAUGGUCUAUUUCGGAGAAAGUCUGGUUGGCAUCGCAUCUGAGUGGUACAUGGACCAUGAUAUAUCCCGCUGGCACAUCUGGGAUGAUCUUGCUAGAAAUUUGGUCAGGCAGUUCCAAUACAACAUUGAUAUUGCCCCGGAUAGGAACUCAUUAACAAACUUGAAGAAUAAAUCCCCGGAGAGCUUUGCAUGAGCAGGACUCUAGGGUAAAGCCUCCAAUGGAUGAGAUUUCGAGAGUACGCAGUCACAGUUUUCCUCCAAGCCCAAGAAGCCGACUACUUCCAAAAUAUGAUAUCCGCAAUGGGUAAACCGUUCACUGAAGCCAUCAAGAUUGGCAAAAUAGUUGAAAAUGGGUUGAUAACGAGUUGAUUUCUUAGCUAGUCUACUAUAAUACCUGCCUCCCAAGCCAUCCAGGGUGGGUUUGGAGGAGUAGCAAAGGGAAAGAAGAAUGAAGAAACAUCCAUGGCAGCAUCGGGUGCAAGAAAACACCAUACUCCCAAAUCCCUUUUCUCAGAAAGAACCCCACAACACUAUUACCCCCACCAAGACGUGGCUUAUGUUCUUUAGCCAUACCCAGUUAUGAAUGCUCCACCUUAUGUCCGACCACAACAACAAGCAAAUCAGAACCAAGCUCCAUUUCCUAGAAACCAGCCUCCUUACCAAGCCCACUACAAUCCCCGACCUCCACAAAACAACUUUCGUGCCUGGGAGCCUCCAAGAAAAACAAACUUCACACCAAUUGGCGAGUCCUAUUCUAGCCUAUUCUCAAAAUUGGUUCAAAUGGGUUUGUUGCAGACCGUACCCCCCAAUGGGCAAAACCCUGAAUCACCCUCUUACCAACGUGGCACCUGAUGCACUUAUCACUCUGGGGCUGAGGGGCAUGAUAUAGAAAAUUGUUGGACUUUGAAGAGAGCCGUGGAAUAUUUUAUAGAACAUGUAGCAUAGUCUAAAGACGUGUUUUAAAUGACGUUAAAAUCUUCUUAGAAAAUAAUCAAAAGCGGUUAAUAAGUUUAAAAUGUACCAUAUGCUAAAACAUGUGUUAAAAUAAGAUAAUAGGUAAAUUGUAAUAGUUUAAGUGACCAUGCUAGAACCACAUAAUUUGUGGGUGCCUAACACCUUCCCUCGAGUCAACAGAAUUCCUUAUCUAGAAUUUCUGGUUCGCAGACUUCAAAAAGAAAAGUCAAAUUUUACUCGAUUUGGGAUUUUAAAAUAAACCAGUGACUUGUGACACCAGAAAAUAAACCUAUCCCAAGUGGCGAGUCUGAAAAUUAAAUAAAUAAUCCCAUUUUGAGCAAUGUCAUUUAAAGUGGAAAAACUCCCUAUACAUACCUUCGGGUGUGUAAAAAGAAGGUGUGACAGCUCUGACGACUCUGCUGGGGACCCAAACCCAGAACUUCGGUUCAGGUUUUAAGAAUUCGAGCUUAGAAUAACUUUUAUAGUUGGUUUGGUUUUAUCUGAUUUUUCUACGUGUUUGAGCAUGUGCUAAAUGCCUCCACUGCCAAUGUAGAAAAGAAACAGAAAACCGCCCCAAAGUAAGACAAAAGAGAUAAAUAACCAAACUACCCCUCCAAAGUUGGAGGAGAAAAUUGAAGUUGAAAUUGGGGCAGCACCCCCAAAGAUGAUGUUCUAUAUGUCCCCUGAGGCCGCAAAGAAAAGCACAUGACAUUGAGUCCUCCAAAUAUAUUCGAGCUGAACAAGACAACCCAAAUAUAUGUGCCCAAGGGAGCUUAUGUGAUGCGGGGGCCAAUUAAUCCACCGAGGCUGAGUGAGCCCGUGGUUAUUAGCCGGGGGCCACAGAAGCCCAUAACAGAUCCCGCCGUUGUGCCUUGGAAAUAUAACAAAUCAGUGGUGACUUACAAGGGAAAAGAAAUCUCAGGAGAAGUUCCAGAAAAUAGCUCGAUUGGAAAGUAUUUCAAUUUGGGAGAGGUAAACAAUGCCACUAGAAAGUGCUUCCCCUCUAAGAAGCCGGUGAGCGCCAAAGAAAAAGAGGCUUUCUUUCAAAAGAUGAAAAUGGUAGAUUAUGAGGUGAUUGACCAGCUUCAAAAGUCUCCUUCUCAAGUCUCCCUGUUAUCUCUGUUGAUAAACUCCACCGAACAUCAGAAGGUAUUGAUCAAGACCCUUAACGAAGCAUAUGUGCCUAUCGAGACCUCUAUAGAGCAGUUGAAGAGAACGACAGAAAGAUUUUUUGCGGUCAACCAGAUCUCCUCAUCAAAAAUGAUUUGCCACUAGAAGGGUCCGUACAUAACAAAGACCUGCACCUAACAGUCAAAUGCGAAGGGUAUUACGUGUAAAUGGUUAUGGUGGACGGGGCCUCUAGAGUAGAUAUCUUCCCGAUCUCGACUCUGAAACGCAUGGAAAUUUGUACUGAGAGAAUUUGACCCAACAAUAUCUGUAUACAUGCUUUCGAUGGUAUCAAAAGGGACAAAAUUGGAGAGAUUGACCUGAUUCUGACAAUCGGCACAAUGGACUUCGAAGUAACCUUCCAGGUUUUGUUCAUGGACCCCUCUUACAACUUUCUAUUAGGGAGGCCGUGGAUUCAUGCAACAGGAGCUGUACCUUCUACUCUUUACCAGAUGGUGAAGUUUAAGCAUGAGGAUCAAGAGGUUGUGGUCCAUGGGGAAGAUGAACAAUCAAUUAUUGGGACCCAUCAGUCCCAUAUCUUGAAGCAAGAGAGGGGAGCAAACACAUAGUCUAUCAGGCUUUUGAAAUCGUGGUCGUAGAUCAAUGCAAAGAAGGAAAACCUUUCCACUAACCCUUCCUUUCAAUUGCAUCAAUCAUGGUAGCUAAGGAAAUGAUAAGGUGUGGCUUUAAGCUUGAGAAAUCAUUGCAAGGAAUAGAUGAACCUAUCACCCUACCUGCUAGUGAAAAUUUCUUUGGGGUCGGCUUCAUACCGAUACCAGCAGAUAUAAAAUGGGCGGAUAGUAUGAAGAAUGAUAGAUGGGUCCUGCUGCAGCCGGUGCCGCAUCUUUACAAAACAUUUGUCAAGCCCAAAUAUAGUGAAGAAGAAGGGGUUGAGGCUUUUACAACUAAACAGACUGAAGAGAUUUGUGGGGAAUGAGGAAGAUAUUAUAUGUAACCCAUAUGGUCUAGCCAGGGGAAGGCUCAAGCACCAUUGAGGUGCUGUACAUGGGACCUGCGGUCAAAUUGCAAAAUUGGAAGGCUACGCCAUUUCUAAUCAGGUGGGAAUCCCAGUAGACUUGUCCUGCCACCUUUUAUACAUCAUGAGUUAUCCCAGGAUAUAACUCAGAUGUUUUUCUUUAGUUUCAUGUAUUUUAGUUUCCAGUGUAAACCCUAUUAUCUUCGAAAUUCAAUGAAAUGAAAUCAGUAUUUCAUCAUCCACCUUUCUUUAUUUAUUUUGAUUGUUAUUUUAUUUUUUUCUUCUUUUUUCAGUUCUAAUAAUGCGAUUUGAAAUAAUAUGACAUGCUUGCGAACUUCAUACCCUGUUCCAAACACGCCGUCUAACUGUGAAAUAAUGAACUAAGAACUGGAAUAUGAUGAAGAAGAGGCGUUCAGGGAAAUAAAUUGAGAACUGGAAAAUUUUAAGAAUAAACCUAAGCCAAACUUAGAUGACACUGAGCCAGUUAACUUGGGUAGUUCUAGAGAAAUCAAGGAAACAAAAAUAAGCAUUCAUGCAGAUGAGAAAACUCGGGUCGCAUUAAUCCAACUCCUUGCUAAGUUCAAAGAGGUGUUUGCUUGAUCAUAUGAUGACAUGUCGGGACGAGCGUUGAUUUGGUGGUUCAUAUGUUUCCAACUUAUCCUGAUUGCCUCCCUAUCUAGCAGAAGUAGAGAAAAUUUAAAACUGAUGUUACUGAAAAGAUCAAAGAAGAGGUCACGACACAGUUGAAAGCAGGGGUGAUCCUAGUGGUCUGGUACACUACAUGGCUAGCCAAUGUAGUUCUAGUGCCGAAGAAAGAUGGGAAGACCCGAGUGUGUGUAGAUUAUAGAGAUCUGAACAAGGUAAGUCCCAAAGAUAACUUCCCUUUGCCAAACAUCCACAUUCUUGUUGAUAUCUGUGCUAAAUAUAAGAUACAGUCCUUUAUGGAUUGCUAUGCCGGAUAUCACCAAGCGUUGUUGGAUGGAGAAUAUGCAGAAAAGACGGCUUUUACCAUACCUCGGGGUACAUACUGUUAUAGAGUCAUGCUAUUUGGUUUGAAGAACACUGGGGAAACCUACAUGAGGGCCAUGACAACCAUCUUCCAUGAUAUGAUGCACCAAGAGAUAGAGGUGUAUGUGUAUGAUGUAACCAUCAAGUCCAAAACCCAGGCUGACCAUAUUCGAGAUCUAAGGAAAUUCUUUGAACGGUUGCGUAGAUAUGAUUUAAAGCUGAACCCAGCCAAAUAUGCAUUUGGGGUCCCAUCGGGUAAAUUUUUGGGCUUUAUAGUCAGCCGGAGAGGUAUCGAGUUAGAUCUGACAAAGAUAAAAUCUACUCGGGAUUUACCUUCUCCAAAAACCAAGAAAGAUGUGAUGAGCUUGUUGGGCAUAUUGAACUAUAUCAGCCGGUUCAUUGCUCAUUUGACAUCCACGUGUGAACCAAUAUUUAAAUUGCUGAAGAAAGAUGCGGCAAUCAAGUGGAUAGAUGAGUGUCAAGAAGCAUUUGAUAAGGUCAAAGAGUAUUUGUCCAUCCCACCGGUCUUGGUCCCACCUGAACCAGGGAGGCCUAUGUUCUUGCACCUGAUAGUCUUCGGAAACUAUUUUGGCUGUGUCCUCAGGCAAGAUGAUGUUACCAGAAAUAAAGUGCAAGCAAUAUACUACUUGAGUAAGAAGUUUACUAGCUAUGAAACUAAGUAUACUUUGCUGGAAAAAAUCUGUUGUUCUUUAACUUGGGUUGCUCAGAAGUUGAGAUAUUAUCUGCAAGCCUACACCACUUACCUCAUAACUAGGUUGGAUCCAUUGAAAUACAUAUUCCAAAACCGAUGCCCACGGGAAGAUUAGAAAAAUGGCAGAUCCUGCUCACUGAAUUUGACAUAAUCUAUGUCACUCGAACGACAAUAAAAGCCCAGGCGUUGGCAGAUCAUUUGGUCGAAAACCUGGUUGAUGAUGAAUACCAACCUUUGAACACUUAAUUUCCGGAUGAAGAGGUAAACUCAGUCGAGGCAAUAUCUGAGGAUACUACUACUUGGAAAAUGUUCUUUUAUGGAGCAGUAAACACAAAAGGUGUAAGAAUUGGGGCAGUAUUGAUCUCACCUGCUAGUCAGCAUUACCCAGCCACAGCCCGACUUCGAUUUUUCUUCACAAACAACACAGCCGAGUAUGAAGCCUGCAUCAUGGGUAUGAACAUGGUAAUCGACCAGGAGAUCAAAGAGUUGUUGAUCAUGAGAGACUCAGAUCUUAUUAUUUGGCAAGCUCAGGGAAAAUAGGAAACCUGAAAUGUCAAACUCAUCCCUUACAGAUAGCAUGUGGAAGACCUUAGCAAGAGAUUCAAUUCAAUAGAGUUCAGGUACAUCCCUCCUUGUCACACAAACUGGCCGAUGAACUUGCUACUUUGGCCUCAAUGCUGCCGUACCCAGGCAAUACUCACAUAGAUCCCUUGGAAAUCUAUGUCCUGGAAAGGCAUGAUUACAGCAAUACGAUUGAGGCAAAAAUAAAUGUUCAGCCAUGGUAUCAUGACAUCAAAAGAUUUUUGAAAACCAAGGAAUGCCUCGAGAAAGCCAGUGGAGAUCAAAAAAGAACCAUUAGACGGCAUGCAAGUUGUAUCUUCUUGAGUGCUGAUGUCUUGUACAAAAAGGACUCCGGAUCUCAACUUAUUAAGAUGUGUUGAUGCUGAAGAGGCUAGAAGAAUCAGGUAUGAAGUGUACGCAGGACUGUGCGGACCCCACAUGAACGGAUUUGUUUUGGCAAAGAAAAUCCUUCAAGUAGGCUACUAAUGGAUGACCAUGGAAAGAGACUGCUUCAGUUUUGAAGUGUCAUCAGUGCUAGGUGCACGAUUAUUUCAUUCAUGCACCUCCCACAUAACUGCAUCCCAUGUCAACGCCUUGGACAUUUGUUGCUUGCGGCAUGGAUGUCAUUGGGCUGAUUUAGCCGAAAGCCUCAAAUGGACACAUAUUCAUACUAGUUGCCAUUGACUACUUGACAAAGUGGGUUGAAGCCAUCACUCUCAAAUCUAUCACCAAGAAAGUUGUGGUAGAUUUCGUGCACUCUUAUCUUAUCUGCCUUUUAUUCCUGCAACUAUCAUCACAAAUAAUGCUACAAACUUGAAUAGUCAUUUGAUGGAAGAGAUAUGCGCACUUUUUAAAAUAACGGAUAGGAACUCUACUCCUUAUCGGCCUAAUGCCAAUGGUGUCGUCGAAGCAGCAAAUAAGAACAUCAAGUAGAUUUUGAGAAAGAUGAUUUAGAGCUCCAGGCAGUGGCAUGAAAAGUUUCCUUUUGCAUUACUGGUAUAUCACAAUACUGUGCGCACAUUAAAUGGAGCCACCUCGUAUCAUUUGGUUUAUGGCACUGAAGCCGUAAUAACCGAAGAGGAUGAAAUCCUCUCUCUCCGAAUCAUUGUUGAAGCUGAAAUUGAAGGCAGUGUGUGGGUUAAAACCCGUCUGGAACAGAUAUCCUUGAUUGAUGAAAAGCGAAUGGCCACGGUCUUCCACGGGCAGUUGUACCAACAAAGAAUGGCCAGUGCCUACAACAAGAAAUUGUGGCCUAGAAAUUUUGAAGUGGGGCAACUCGUUUUAAGGCAUAUUCUUCCCCAUCACCAGGAAGUAAAAGGAAAAUUUGCUCCUAUUUGGAAGGGUCCAUACAUCUUCAGAAAAACAUUGCUGAGAGGAGCAUUUCAUCUGGGCGAUGUCAAAGGAAAUGAUCCCAAAGCAGCUGUGAAUGCAAACACAGUAAAAAGGUACUAUGUUUAGGUUUUCCGCAACAAUGAUAUUAUCUGAUAGGGUCGAAGGCUUUCAUUUCUCGCUAACCUAAACACUAUCAAUCCUUUGCAAACCCUUUGAGCCGGUUACUCUUCUUUGAAUACCCUCUUUGGAACUCGAAAAUGUUAUUGGAAAAAGGAAAAAAAGAAGAGAAGAGAAUAAUGAAUGAAAAAAGAAGAAAUUUUUUUUUAAAAAAAAGGGCAAAACAAAAGAGCAAAAGAAAACAAAAACCAAAUGUUUUUCCUAAACUACGUUUGACUUGAUUCUGAAAGGAUAUGUAGGUAGCCUCUCUCUGGGGUUCAGUCACAACUAAAUGAAAACCCAAUUUUUCCCAAAAGUGAAACUGGGGCAGAUGUUAUAAUGGUUCGGCGACGAUCCCACUUGAACGGUUCCAAAAUUGUAAUUUGAUCCAAGUUCUUUUUACCUAAACCUGGUUCAAGUCCUUCCGCCAAUCGAUAAAAGGUUUUUUUCAACAUCAUAGAACGUAGUUGUUUGGAUCCUAUGCAAUCAAAAUGAGAGAAAUAAAAUGAGAGAGUCUUAUCGGUGAAAACCUACAAGCACCGUAAGGCGAUGGUGAGUAGAGAAAUUGAAAAUGAGAAAAUCUUGUUAGUGAAAACUCAUAAAGAGCACUAUAGGCGAUGGUAAAAAAAAAUGAGAGAGGUCGAUUGGUGAAAACCCACAAAGGGUGUCGUUGAUCGAAAAGAAGAACCCCCUCGCCACCUUGGUAUUGAAAGAGUCCUGACAAGGUUUUCGAGUUUUGAAACGUGGGUCAUAGUAGGUUUAUGAGAAGUUGAGAUAGUUUGUGCGGAUCGGGAAUCCAGUCCAAGGAGCAUGUCAUGUCUAUUUGAAGUAUGCAUGCACCUAGUUAAGUCUAUCCUUCCACCCCAAAAGGGACACUUCUCCUUUAAAUUCAUUUUCUAUUAUCGGUGAAAACCUACAAGCACCGUAAGGCGAUGGUGAGUAGAGAAAUUGAAAAUGAGAAAAUCUUGUUAGUGAAAACUCAUAAAGAGCACUAUAGGCGAUGGUAAAAAAAAAUGAGAGAGGUCGAUUGGUGAAAACCCACAAAGGGUGUCGUUGAUCGAAAAGAAGAACCCCCUCGCCACCUUGGUAUUGAAAGAGUCCUGACAAGGUUUUCGAGUUUUGAAACGUGGGUCAUAGUAGGUUUAUGAGAAGUUGAGAUAGUUUGUGCGGAUCGGGAAUCCAGUCCAAGGAGCAUGUCAUGUCUAUUUGAAGUCAACAUGCAACCCAGAUAAGUACGCCCCUCCUCCCCGAAAGGUACACUUCUCCUUUAAACUCAUUUUCUUGUCCUUUGUUUACUUUUCCUUGAAUCCUUUCGGUCUAACUCUGUUCCGAAUUUAAUACAAAAAAGGUGGCAAGAUUGAUUUUACAAGAUACUACUUAGUAAAACUCAAGUCCAUAGAAAAGUACCCAGCCUCAGCGGGUGCAUCAAGUCGAUCGCGACUGGCCAUGAUAGUUGAUGCUCUAAAACCAGAUUUAUUAAAAAUGAAAAGAAAUCCGAGUUCAAAAGCCCUAGAGGUGGGAUAAAGUGAAAGCACCAAAGUCCUGCACCAAAGUGAACCGUCGUCUGGAAUGUUUGAAAAGUUGAGUUCCUUGAUUUUAGGAGAAAGAUAAAUCUUCAGCAAGCUAGCAGGCAGCAGAGGUUCUCACCAAAGAGUUGGGGCGCGAUCAAGUGAUAAAAAACAAUUAAGGCCACAAAACCGACCACCGUCUCAAACUAACAAUUAUUCUAUGUUCGAAAAAUUGAAAUAGGUGUAAUCCAAAGCAACCGUGCAAAAAGCAGGUGCAACCAAAAAGGAAAUUCUUAAGGGCUAGGAAUAGCUCUGCAGCAAUAAUCAAUCCAAAAGGGAAGUCUCCUUCAAAUUCUUUCCAGCACUGUUACACAUUUUUCUUAAACUAAAAAAUUAAAUGAAGAUUGAUAAAAACAAUUUAAAAACAAGGAGGAAAAAGUUAAAAUCAUGGUAGCAUAGGGCCUCCAAUCCCUCCUAGUCACCGCCAGCAUAACCUGGUAGUCUUUUCCAUUAUAGGGUUCCAGUCCCUAGUUGAUCUCCAACAUAUCCCGUGGACCUCCCCGGCAUAACCCGAGGACCUUUUUCCUUUUCUCCCUGGCAUAACCCAAGGGACCUUUUUCUUUCAUCCCGGCAUAACCCGUGGACCUCCUUAGCAUAACCCAAGGACCUUUUUCUUUUAUCCCCACAUAACCUGUGGAUGUCCCUGGCAUAACCCAAUGACCUUUUUCUUUUAUCCCGGCAUAACCCGCGGACAUCCUUGGCAUAACCUAAGGACUUUUUUCUUUUAUCCCGGCAUAACCCAUGGACAUCGUUGGCAUAACCCAAGGACCUUUUUCUUUUAUCCCGACUUAGCCUGUGGACAUCCCUGGCAUAACCCAAUGACCUUUUUCUUUUAUCCCGGCAUAACCCGUGGAUCUCCCUGGCAGAGCCCAAGGACCCUUUUUAUUUUAUCCCGGCAUAACCCGUGGACAUCCCUGGAAUAACCCAAGGACCUUUUUCUUUUAUUCCGGUAUAACCGGUGAACAUCCCCGGCAUAACCCGUGGACAUCCCUGCAAUAAUCCAAGGACCUUUUUCUUUUAUCCCGGCAUAACCCGUGGACCUCCCUGGCAUAACCUAGGGACCUUUUUUCUUUUCUUCUCCGGGAUGACCAGUGGACAUCCCUGGCAUAGCCCAAUGACCUUAUUCUUUUAUCCCGGCAUAACCCGUGGACAUCCUUGGCAUAACCCAAUGACCUUUUUCUUUCAUCCCAGCAUAACCCGUGGACAUCUCUCGCAUAAUCCAAGGACCAUUUUUCAUUUAUCAUGGAAUAACCCGUAGAUAUCGCUGUAAUAAUCCAAGGACUUUUUUUCUUUUAUCCAGGCAUUACUCGUCUACAUCCCUUGCAUAACCCAAUGACCUUUUUCUUUUAUCCCAGCAUAACCCGUGGACAUCCCUGGCAUAACCCGUGGACAUCCCUGCAUAAUCCAAGGACCUUUUUCUUUUAUCCCGGCAUAACCCGUGGACCUCCCUUGCAUAACCUAGGGACGUUUUUUCUUUUCUUCCCCGGGAUAACUAGUGGACAUCCCUGGCAUAACCCAAGGACCUUUUUCUUUUAUCCCGACAUAACCCGUGGACAUCUUGGAAUAACCCAACGACCUUCUUCAUUCAUCCCAGCAUAACCCGUGGACAUCUCUGGCAUAAUCCAAGGACCAUUUUUCUUUUAUCCUGGAAUAACCCGUAGAUCUCCCUGUCAUAAUCCAAGGACUUUUAUUCCUUUAUCCAGGGAUAACCCGUGUACAUCCCUUGCAUAACCCAAUGACCUUUUUCUUUUAUCCCAGCAUAAUUUGUGGACAUCCCUGGCAUAAACCCGUAGAUCUCCCUGGCAUAACUAAAGGACCUUUUCUUUUAUCCCAGCAUAACUCGUUGACCUCCCUUGCAAAACCUAGGGACCUUUUCUUUUCUUCCCCGGUACAACCCAAUGACCUUUUUUUUUCUUUUCCGGCAUAACCCGAUCAACUUUCAAGUAUAACCUUGCAAUCCUCCCACUUUAGAGGUUCACUUCCUAUUCCAACGGAUACAUAAUCCCUAUUUUAUUGCUUUCCAUAAAGAAAUAGCUUAGAUUUGUUUUGCAAAUAAUUCACGAAAUUUUCCUAUUGAAAACUGGGGCAGAAAAUUUCGUUCAUUUAUUUUUUUGGGGUGUCUGAGCAAGUUUUCCCCCAAGGCUCGGGAUUCGAGGUAGCUGAAAGAAUGAGCCUUAGUCCAGAAUAAAGAAAAGAAUAAAAAGAACAAAAGAAAUGAAUUCAAAAUGCUGAAUCGGAUAGAGAUGCGGACUGCUCGUGAUAUGAUUGAAAUCACAAGCUUCACAUGUCUCGCCUUGAUCCAAUGCUGAAGAAAAAACCAGCACCUGUAGCUAACGAGCAUCAAGAUUCAGAUCAGAGUCUACAGCAAUAACCGUCCAAGACUCAACAUCAAGCUUCAAGAGAUUUAUAGAUAUGAAUCUUGUAACUCGUAGUUGAUAGGCUUAGCUAGCUUAGGUUUUUACUUUCUAUUUUGGUGUAAUAAGCAGCUUAGCAAGCAGAAAUAACAGGAAAAGUUGUGAAAUCACUUCUUCUCGGUAGUCCUGACUACCAAAAUUUCCAGAACUACACUGACCUGAUUUCUUUAUUGUCAAGGAUAUGUAGGCAACCUCUGAGGCAAGGUUCGGUCAGCAUCUUUUAAAAUGCUUCUCAUGGAGUUUCAAACGAGCAAAAAUCCCUCAUAAUUACUCAUUUUAUCUUUGCCCGAAAAUCCUUCGUGUCUCUAAGCAAAGAAGGGCAGCUCUGAGCACAUGAUUUUCCCCCUAUGUGAAAUACUCCUAUAAGAUCCCAAGAAAAUAGAUUUUUUAAUUAUUAUUUGCCAUUUUUAGGAAUUUUGUGGAUUUUUAUCAAUUGUUUACAUUCUUCUUGCUUGUCUAAUUUUUAUUCAAAUAAUAAAAAUGUAAAAAUAGCAUGCAAUACAUUUAAGAUUCAUUUUUAGAGUUAAUCCGUAACUACUUGUUUUAUAAAAUUUGAAAAUCAACAAAAAAUAGCUCAUUUUUACAUUUUUUUGUCUUUAAUUUUAGUUCAUUGAUAUUUCACUUUUAAUAUUGAGUUGAGUAAUGUUUACAAUUUUAAUUAGCUUAAUUAAUAUUUUUUGAUAAUUUAGGAUUUAUUUUUAAUUUUAAGAUUUCUAAUUAAAAAUAGAAGAAAGAUUAAAAAAAUUAAAAUAAAAGAAGAGGAAUAUAAGGGAACUAAUUUUCUGGAAUUGGGCCAAUUAUAAUCUCCAAACCAGCCCAAAUCAGCCCAAAAUCCACCUUAACCCAUCAAAUACGCGAACCAACCUUGACCAGAACCAAACGACACCGUUUUUCCUUAAUUCAUCACAACCGUUGGAUUUCAUCAUCCAAUGGCUCGGAACUCCUUUGUACUUCACUAUACUAAUGUCUAAAGAUUCCGACCCCCAUCGGACCCCUCUCACUCCGUCUCCUUCUCUCUCAACCUUCAAACCCUAGCCGCCCCAUAAUCAAUAAGUUAGUUUAAAAAAAAAGAGAAUGAAAUCAGCAUGUCCUGUUUUAGCAUUAAUUGGGUCUUUCUAAUGCUUUUUUAGUUUUGUUGGGCAUGAUUUGGCAAUCAAUAUAACUUUAGGAACUUGUUCUGAAUCAAAAGAACGCAGGUACAAUUGAAAUAUGUGAUAACCUAAGGGGUAAAAAGGGGGGUUUUACUUAAGCUAAACUCAGAAGGUUCUAGAAUACAACACAAUUGUCCUUAUCCUAAGAAAAUACUGGUUUUGGAUAAGGAAAAAGGACAGUACAGUUGUAAAAAUAUUAUGUAUCAGGUCAGAAUAUUCUUUUCUUAGAUGCUCUUUGGGUACUCUAUAAAAAGGAAAAAUUCCCUCACUGACACAUAGAUUUUUCAGUAUCACUUUACUGCAAAAAUCUCUCUUUGCUCUUAUGAGAAAGAUUAAAUCUCAAGAAAAGAAAAUACAAAAACUUUCCGAACCUCUUAUUCUCAGGGUUUUCUAUAAGUUGAGGAAUAUGAUUUGAAAUAGAAGAUUUCUUAGUCCUUUUAGCUAGAUCUCCUUGUUUCAAGUUCGUUCUAGUUUUGAUUUUCUUGGUUUUGUUGCUGCUGGUUUUGUUGCUGAAAUCCAGUUUUUCAGAAGAGAUUUUUUUUGCUUUUAUUGUCUAUCUUGCUGAUAAAGGUACAUAUUUUUUACUCACCUACUUGAUUGAGCUUCUGUAAUCUGUUGUUUGAAUGGUUGAAUGAAAAGCUUUGUUUGGUAAGUUUCCCUACUUAUUUCCAGAUUAUUUGUUCUAUAUGAUCAUGAAUUCUUCAAAUGUUUUAAAAUGUUACUUCAGUAAGCAUGUUUGAGCAUUUUAUUUAGCCUGGCUAUUAUGUGCCAGGAUGCUGAAAUGAUUUGAGUAUAUUCCCCCUAAUUAUUGAAGUAGCCUCUUUUUUUGCUUUUUUAAUUAUUUUGUUAGUAUAAGCCAAAGUUACGUUAAUCUAUGAAUGUCUAUAUACUAAUAGCUGUGUUGUUGCCUUUGUUUUGUAUGAGAGUGGCCAUAAAGCCAAAUCAUCAAGGCUGAAGCUUAGAAUGUCAACUUGCAGGGAACAAAUCCAUAGCUGUUUCCUUGAAAGUUUGUACCCUCUCGAAGGAUCUGAUAGCAGAAGAACGCCUGAAGUUUUUUUAAAAAAAGAGAAAUAUGGUUCUGUUGUUGACCUUCAAAAUUUUCCUUUUAGAUAUUAAUAUCACGUAAUGUUUCAUUAGUUAUUUUAUAAACUCAUAGACCUUCAGUAGGGCAAAUGGAAUUUCAUAAUGACUCUUUUUAGUGUUUUAUUAUGUUUACUUAGUAUAGGGCCACCACAACUGGGCUCUUUGCCUGCUUUGUAAUAAAGCAGUAUCAUGGUGUA